AACGAACGCUGGCGGCAUGCCUAACACAUGCAAGUCGAACGAGACCUUCGGGUCUAGUGGCGCACGGGUGCGUAACGCGUGGGAACCUGCCCUUAGGUUCGGAAUAACUCCCCGAAAGGGGUGCUAAUACCGGAUAAUGUCUUCGGCCCAAAGAUUUAUCGCCUUUGGAUGUGCCCGCGUUGGAUUAGCUAGUUGGUAUGGUAAAAGCCUACCAAGGCGACGAUCCAUAGCUGGUCUGAGAGGAUGAUCAGCCACACUUGGACUGAGACACGGCCCAGACUCCUACGGGAGGCAGCAGUGGGGAAUAGUGGACAAUGGGCGAAAGCCUGAUCCAGCAAUGCCGCGUGAGUGAUGAAGGCCUUAGGGUUGUAAAGCUCUUUUACCCGGGAUGAUAAUGACAGUACCGAGAGAAUAAGCUCCGGCUAACUCCGUG
rnacentral:rRNA from 1 species